AUUGAACGCUGGCGGCAUGCCUUACACAUGCAAGUCGAACGGCAGCACGGGGCAACCUGGUGGCGAGUGGCGAACGGGUGAGUAAUGUACCGGAACGUGCCAUUGAGUGGGGGAUAACGUAGCGAAAGUUACGCUAAUACCGCAUAUACCCUGAGGGGGAAAGCAGGGGAUCGCAAGACCUUGUGCUCUUUGAGCGGCCGAUAUCAGGUUAGCUAGUUGGUGAGGUAAAGGCUCACCAAGGCGACGAUCUGUAGCGGGUCUGAGAGGAUGAUCCGCCACACUGGGACUGAGACACGGCCCAGACUCCUACGGGAGGCAGCAGUGGGGAAUUUUGGACAAUGGGCGCAAGCCUGAUCCAGCCGUGCCGCGUGAGUGAAGAAGGCCUUCGGGUUGUAAAGCUCUUUCGGCCGGGAAGAAAUCGUACAGGUUAAUACCCUGUGUGGAUGACGGUACCGGAAUAAGAAGCACCGGCUAACUACGUGCCAGCAGCCGCGGUAA
rnacentral:rRNA from 1 species